GGGGAUGAUCGGUUUCGACUUGGGGCGGUGAUCCCAGGGGAAGCGGGCCGAGGAUCCAGAGUUAUCUCGUUAACGCUCUCUGGAAACCAAUAAGUGCCGAUUCUAAGCGCACUGACUUCGCUCUCGCUGCCUGAUCAGUGAUCGAAGGGUCAGCCCGGGCUAGCCUUCGGCUCGGUGUCUGGCCUCGACCAAUGGAGGCUUGCUCCGCUCACCACGCCGUGGGGUGAGUGGGGGACUUUCACACGGCUGGGCUCGUCUGCAACUCGCUGGCAGGAGUGCAGGAGCCGAGUAGAACGUCAAUUGUCAGCUGCGCCCGGAGAAGCCCUGGGACAUCCUUCGAGGACGCGGGUUCGAUUCCCGCCAUCUCCACAA
rnacentral:tmRNA from 1 species